GUCCUACGGGACGCAGCAGUGAGGAAUAUUGGUCAAUGGGCGCGAGCCUGAACCAGCCAAGUCGCGUGAGGGAAGACGGUCCUAUGGAUUGUAAACCUCUUUUGUCGGGGAGCAAAAGACGCCACGCGUGGCGUUCCGAGAGUACCCGAAGAAAAAGCAUCGGCUAACUCCGUGCCAGCAGCCGCGGUAAUACGGAGGAUGCGAGCGUUAUCCGGAUUUAUUGGGUUUAAAGGGUGCGCAGGCGGCGAGUUAAGUCAGCGGUAAAAUUUCGGGGCUCAACCCCGACGAGCCGUUGAAACUGGCUU
rnacentral:rRNA from 1 species